GACGAACGCUGGCGGCAGGCUUAACACAUGCAAGUCGAGCGAGCGGCGGACGGGUGAGUAAUGUCUGGGAAACUGCCUGAUGGAGGGGGAUAACUACUGGAAACGGUAGCUAAUACCGCAUACCAUCAGAUGUGCCCAGAUGGGAUUCGUUAGUAGGGGGGGUAAAGGCUCACCUAGGCGACGAUCCCUAGCUGGUAUGAGAGGAUGACCAGCAAACCGGGAACUGAGACACGGGCCAGACUCCUACGGGAGGCAGCAGUGGGGAAUAUUGCACAAUGGGCGCAAGCCUGAUGCAGCCAGGCCGCGUGUAUGAAGAAGGCCUUCGGGUUGUAAAGUACUUUCAGCGGGGAGGCGUUACCCGCAGAAGAAGCACCGGCUAACUCCGUGCCAGCAGCCGCGGUAAUAC
rnacentral:rRNA from 1 species